rnacentral:lncRNA from 10 species
GAGCCGGGGAAGCGACGCGAAGACCCCCGUCCGGCGCAACCCGCUCGCGUGGACGCGGAAAGUGGCGGGCGGCGGGUCCCGGUGGUGCCUGCGUAGGGCAGAGUUGCCCCCUGGCGGCGGUGCGACGACCUGCGGGCCCUCGCGCCCGGGCCGGCAACUCCCUGGGAGCUCGGCCCGCGCGGGGAACUCGCCCAGCAGCCUGUGUUUCUCGAGUGUGGGCAGCCGGCUCCCGGGCGUCCCUCCCACCGGCUGCGGGGGCCCGGGACUGGGCGGUAGUGGAGGCAGGUCCUUGGACUGCAGGCUGAGGCUUUUUCCCCCCACGAGCGGUUUGGGCCCUCCAGGAGCCCCUGCGCGGGGGUCACGUGGAUUACGCUAGCGGUUCCCCUGGCGCCUCGACCCUCCUUUGAAGAGUCAUUCUAGAAGGCUGUAUUGCGAUAGUGUUUGUACCUGUCACUGUGAGCCCUGAAAAGAGACAGAAGAAAACGCGAGUGCCUGGCCUGAGGGUGCUCCGUCCCGUGGGUAGCCAGCCCUAGUGUCUGCUUCCAGAAAGCCUUCCCUGAUGACCUCACCUCCACCUGCUCUGAAUUCCGACUGCACCUCGUUCCACAGCAGUCAGCACCCAGUGUGGAAAUAUAUUAAUGAAACCGCCUUUACAAAAUUAUGACUGAGACAGUGAAAGAAAUCUAACUUAACCAACUCCAUCUUGCUUCUAACCCCCAAGCUAUCCUUGUUCAUUCCUAGGUGUAGGCUUAACUAACUUUGGGAGAAGUUAGUAAGGGUAAUAGCCCUUUCCCAAAGCAGUCCUCCUUCUUACCUGGGACUGGAUUGCCUUUGUAGGACUAACAUUAGCCACAAGAUUAGAAAUUAUGGUUUAGGAGUCAUGCAGCCGAAGGCUACAAGAUUCUGACCCUCCCUAAACUGCUCCAAAGAUCAGCGCUUGAGAUAUUUGGCAGACCCUGCACUUGAUGGAUCAGCUGGCCCCACACAGAUCAAUAAACUGGCUCAUCUGAUCUUGUGGCCUCCACCUAGGAACUGACUGAGCAAAAGAAGACAGCUCCAAUUCCAUAUGAUUCAUCUCUGACCAAUCAGCACUCCUGGCUCACUGGCUUCCUCUCACCCACCAAGUUAUCCUUAAAAACUCUGCUUCCCAAAUGCUUGGGGAAACUGAUUUAAGUAAUAAUAAAACUCUGGUCUCCCCGCCGGCUGGCUCUGUGUGAAUUACUCUUUUUCUAUUGCAAUUCCCCUGUCUUAAGGAAUUGGCUCUGUCUAGGCAGCAGGCAAGGUAAACCUCUUGGGCAGUUACAUUAAUACUUGCUCACCUACCUAUCUCCUCUGCUAAAGUGUGAUCUAUUUGAAGGCAGGCUCCAUGUCAUCUUCACCUCAGCAUUCUCAAAACCUAACCCAGUGAUACAGGAG